rnacentral:rRNA from 1 species
GUGGGGAAUCUUGCUCAAUGGGCGAAAGCCUGAAGCAGCGACGCCGCGUGCGGGAUGAAGGCCCUCGGGUUGUAAACCGCUUUCAGCAGGGACGAAAUUGACGGUACCUGCAGAAGAAGGCCCGGCCAACUACGUGCCAGCAGCCGCGGUAAUACGUAGGGGCCUAGCGUUGUCCGGAUUUAUUGGGCGUAAAGAGCUCGUAGGCGGUUUGGUGAGUCGGGUGUGAAAUCUCCACGCUCAACGUGGAGGGGCCACCCGAUACUGCCAUGACUAGAGUCCGGUAGGGGAGUGUGGAAUUCCCGGUGUAGCGGUGAAAUGCGCAGAUAUCGGGAGGAACACCAGUAGCGAAGGCGACACUCUGGGCCGGUACUGACGCUGAGGAGCGAAAGCGUGGGGAGCAAACAGGAUUAGAAACCCCGGUAGUCC